GCCAGCGUAGCUCAGUUGGUAGAGCAGGCGCUUCGUAAGCGUCAGGUCGUCGGUUCGACCCCGACCGCUGGCU
rnacentral:tRNA from 1 species